rnacentral:rRNA from 1 species
UACGUAGGGGGCUAGCGUUGUCCGGAAUCAUUGGGCGUAAAGCGCGUGUAGGCGGCCCGGUAAGUCCGCUGUGAAAGUCGGGGGCUCAACCCUCGGAUGCCGGUGGAUACUGUCGGGCUGGAGUGCGGAAGAGGCGAGUGGAAUUCCUGGUGUAGCGGUGAAAUGCGCAGAUAUCAGGAGGAACACCAAUUGCGAAGGCAGUUCGCUGGGACGUUACUGACGCUGAGACGCGAAAGCGUGGGGAGCAAACAGG